GUAAUUAUCCAGUUGAUAUUUAUCUUGUUCCAGUCACCUUAAGAAAGCUGUUUGGUUUUGGAAAUCACUAGUGGGUAAAAAAGACCAAUUUGCAACUAGGCUGUCAUGCUCUGUUGAAAACUAUGUCACAAUAUCACAAUACUAGAUGUUGGGCUCAAGACAGCAAACAGAAAGCAGCAAGGGCAGUGACUGGAAGCUGGGAGAGAGGGUCAACAGCUGAAU
rnacentral:antisense_RNA from 1 species